UACGGGGGGGGCAAGCGUUGUUCGGAAUUACUGGGCGUAAAGGGCUCGUAGGCGGCCAACUAAGUCAGACGUGAAAUCCCUCGGCUUAACCGGGGAACUGCGUCUGAUACUGGUUGGCUUGAGUGUGGGAGAGGGAUGCGGAAUUCCAGGUGUAGCGGUGAAAUGUGUAGGAUAUCUGGAGGAACACCGGUGGCGAAGGCGGCAUCCUGGACCAUUCUGACGCUGAGGAGCGAAAGCCAGGGGAGCAAACGG
rnacentral:rRNA from 1 species